GCUUUUUAUAGCUCAGUCGGUAGAGCAUGAGGCUCUUAAUCUCAGGGUUGUGGGUUUGAGCCCCAUGUUGGGCA